CUUUUUAUGCUAAUAAACUAUACAAAUGAAUAAUCUAAAGCUUUUAUUCAUUGAUAGAAGAACAUUACAACCAUAUGAUUUCAGGACAUAAAUCAUGGUCAUGUUCUUAAAGCUACUUUCAAAGACUACAUACAUACCACAUAUCUCUCAUUUUUCUCAUAGCUCACUUAUUGUCUUCGAUACAUAACUUAGCUAGGGUUUGUACAUUGUUGUCUACCCUAGCAAGUGAGGUAAUCACCUGGUGAAACACCAAAUUGACUGCAGUAGUUUUUGUAAUACUGGACACGUGCAUCAACCGAGGACGGGCUACCACCAUUACAUUCAAUAGCACCAUCAAUGGCUUGAAUUGUAGCACCAAAGCCUUGGUUUACAACAGAGUGAACAUUGUUCAUCCAAAACCAUAACGCGGUCUUGAACGAAAUAUCUGCGUUGGUUGCAACAAUUCCAGGAUUGCUCAAGCCGUUGAACCCAAUACUUUUUCCAGCAGGACCAUAAUUGUAGUUCCAUGAUAUCUGAAGUGGUCCACGGCCAUAGUACUUCUGCCCAGCCACGCAUGGAUUUUGGGUAUUACUACUAUCACAAUAGUUCGGAGAGGCACCAUUUAUUUCAUUUAUGUAACAAAA